rnacentral:rRNA from 1 species
GACGAACGCUGGCGGCGUGCUUAACACAUGCAAGUCGAGCGGUAAGGCCCUUUCGGGGGUACACGAGCGGCGAACGGGUGAGUAACACGUGGGUGACCUGCCCUCAGCUCUGGGAUAAGCCUGGGAAACCGGGUCUAAUACUGGAUAUGACUCCAUGACGCAUGUUGUGGGGUGGAAAGCCUUGUGCGGCUGAGGAUGGGCCCGCGGCCUAUCAGCUUGUUGGUGGGGUGAGGCCUACCAAGGCGACGACGGGUAGCCGGCCUGAGAGGGCGACCGGCCACACUGGGACUGAGACACGGCCAGACUCCUACGGGAGGCAGCAGUGGGAAUCUUGGACAAUGGGCGCAAGCCUGAUCCAGCCAUGCCGCGU